CCUACGGGAGACAGCAGUGGGGGAUAUUGCACAAUGGGGGGAACCCUGAUGCAGCGACGCCGCGUGGGUGAAGGAGUGCUUCGGCAUGUAAAGCCCUAUCGGCAGGGAAGAAGCAAGACGGUACCUGACUAAGAAGCCCCGGCUAACUACGUGCCAGCAGCCGCGGUAAUACGUAGGGGGCGAGCGUUAUCCGGAUUCACUGGGUGGAAAGGGAGCGUAGACGGCCAAGCAAGCCAGGGGUGAAAGCCCGGGGCCCAACCCCGGGACUGCCCUUGGAACUGCAUGGCUGGAGUGCGGGAGGGGCAGGCGGAAUUCCUGGUGUAGCGGUGAAAUGCGUAGAUAUCAGGAGGAACACCGGCGGCGAAGGCGGCCUGCUGGACCGCGACUGACGUUGAGGCUCGAAAGCGUGGGGAGCGAACAGGAUUAGAUACCCCAGUAGUC
rnacentral:rRNA from 1 species